UGCAGUCGAACGGGACUUUCAUUGUAGCAAUAUGAUGGAAGUUCAGUGGCGUAAGGGUGCGUAACACGUGGGAAAUCUGCCGAGAAGUGGGGGAUAGCUCGCCGAAAGGCGAAUUAAUACCGCAUGUGGUCAGCGAGGACAUCCUCGCGAAACCAAAGCCGGGGCAACCUGGCGCUUCUUGAUGAUCCCGCGGCCUAUCAGCUAGUUGGCGGGGUAAAAGCCCACCAAGGCUAUGACGGGUAGCUGGUCUGAGAGGACGACCAGCCACACUGGAACUGAGACACGGUCCAGACACCUACGGGUGGCAGCAGUCGAGAAUUUUUCUCAAUGGGGGCAACCCUGAAGGAGCGACGCCGCGUGGAGGAUGAAGGUCUUCGGAUUGUAAACUCCUGUCAUUAGGGAACAAAUCUUCCAAGUAACUACUGGAAGUCUGAUAGUACCUGAAGAGGAAGAGACGGCUAACUCUGUGCCAGCAGCCGCGGUAAUACAGAGGUCUCAACCGUUGUUCGGAUUCAUUGGGCGUAAAGGGUGCGUAGGCGGCGGGGCAAGUCAGGUGUGAAAUCUCGGGGCUCAACCCCGAAACUGCACUUGAUACUGCUUCGCUAGAGUACUGGAGAGGAGACUGGAAUUUACGGUGUAGCAGUGAAAUGCGUAGAUAUCGUAAGGAAGACCAGUGGCGAAGGCGAGUCUCUGGACAGUUACUGACGCUGAGCACGAAGGCCAGGGGAGCAAACGGGAUUAGAUACCCCGGUAGUCCUGGCAGUAAACGGUGCACGUUUGGUGUGGGAGGAUUCGACCCCUUCCGUGCCGGACUAACGCGUUAAACGUGCCGCCUGGGAAGUACGGUCGCAAGAUAAAACUCAAAGAAAUGACGGGGGCCCGCACAAGCGGUGGA
rnacentral:rRNA from 1 species